UCCAGCGAAGUCAGCGGAGGCCGGAAGAAUUAUGUGAGACUAUAGGAAAGGCAAGAGGUGAGAGGGACACUGGGCAGGUUUCCCCGAGCCGCUGUCAAGCUCUCAUAUUUAUUGAGCGGACGUUUGAAAAAACAAUGCACAGCACAUCAGAAGGUUGUGUGCCAAACAGGAUGCUGCAGGGAGCGUGCAGGCAGCCACGCAGAGCCACUCUGAUGACUUCAAAGGAAAGCAAACCCUCCGCACCCAGUAAUAGACAAGCGAAGGACGUCAUGCUGCAAAGGAAACAGUGUUCUGCUUCCAGGGCGGCCCUUCCGCUUUCUGGUCCCGGACUUGGCCGUUUGGCUCCCCACGGAUCCCCCUUUUUGUUUGAAUAUUGUUGGUGCUUCUUGGAACACAGCAAGCUGCCCAGUUAAAUGAAGAACUGCCUGGCUUUGUAAAUGCCCAAGGGAAGCACAUUAAAAAGGAACACAAAUAUCCAAAGAUAAACCAAAUGAUGACUUAAUUCAAAUUUUUAAAGUAUAGUAUUUCCCAAGAAGUCUGAAAAGAAUUGAGAAAUUCAAUGAGUUUCAAUGAAAGCAGAAGAAUCUACCAUCUGCUACCAUUCUCUCAAGAAUGCUUGGUAACCUAGAUUAUUUUGACUUUCUAUAUAUUGUCUUUAAAAACUGACAGCAGCAGUCUCCCCUGCUGCCCCACCUUUUUAAGAUAUCUUGUUUACUGUGCUGGGUAUAUAGACAAUAAAUGUGUAAUGAUAGACAGUUCUAAAAAAAUUAAAUGCAAAAAAGUGCUUUUACCUCUAGUUAACUCUGAUAUUUUCCAGAGGGCCCCUGGAACAUGUCAGAAGAAUUUUUUCUCAUUAGAGAAAGUAUUUUGACUAAUUUGGCUUAUUUAUCUGAUAUAUAUAUAUAUAUAUAUAUUUACCAGAAAAGCACUGUCAAAGAGAAUGAUGCUAAACUUUGUUACUGAAUGUUUUGUAUUGCAGAAAUAUCAGAAUUUCCUUAUGUCAACUGUCUUACAGUAAGCUCUCAUCAGAUCUUUAACCAUUGUCAUUUGUAAGUCUUUUGUCAUUUAUAGUCACUGUUUUAUUAUUUCUAAACUAGUAAAGAACUAGAUUUCAGCAGAACAGGUAUAAGUUACAUAAGAUUACAUAAACUAAAAAAAAUAGUUUUGUCUUUUUGUUUCGAAUGUUGCUGAUAGAGUGUUUUGAGCUUGUUCUCUUAAGCCAACAACAGUUUAGUAAAUAGCUGUCUUUAUAAGCAGAGUUGAAACAUCCUUCUCUCUACCUGAUCCCUACAGAGUUUAAAAACUUUCAGUGACUGUUUUUGUAUUCCAUGGCAGUAUGUUUAUUUGCACGAGUUUAGUAAGAAUCUGCUUUCCUUGUGAGAAGACUAAUUAAGAACACUGGUAAUACUGCCAGGGCUUUGGCUAGAAUGUCAUACCUGAGAGACAUGUGCAUAGACUCAGAUGUAAACAACUUUAAAGAACUAAGAUUGACUUUAUAAAGUCAACAAAGCCCCUUGGAAGAACUAGCCUAGUACCUUGCUUACAGAGUUCCCAGCAGCCUUACCAGGUGAGUAAAGAAGGUCGCUUCCUGGCAGGUGCAGAGACCUCGAGAAGAGAGAGAAAAGAUCCUCCUGGAAGCACGAAAGAACGUGCCUAGAACUGAUAGACGACCAUCGCGACUCCCUCAUAAUAUAGAGAGAGGGUUCCCGCUGACCAGACCCAACUAAGACUUUAAUUCUCCAGAAAGUAGAGAGCGACUAACCAUCUAUUGCCAGGCUCUAGUGGCGAGUCUCCGUGGGGCCGCAAGGCGCCCCACUAAUUUGGCCAAGGUUACGGGCCCUAGAAGUUGUACAGAGAGAAGUGUGGGCCUCCGUCCAGGAAGCCUAUCGGCCAGAAGACCUCUCAGUGCCCCAUCAGUUCCAGGUGGGAGACUCUGUCUACGUGAGACGACACCAAACAAGAAAUCUUGAGCCUCAGUGGAAAAAACCCUUUAUCGUCCUCCUGACCACCUCCACAGCCGUGAAAGUAGACGGCAUCUCCUCCUGAGUACACGCAUCACAUCUGAAGAAAGCGCACCAGCCAGACCCGGAUUGGCGAGUAACUCGGACUGAUAACCCAUUUAAGCUUCGCUUGUGCAGAAAAAAACAUGCUAUCAGUGAAUUUGAACCCAGACGGAGAUAUAGAAGAGAACCAGUUUCGCUGACUCUAGCUGUGCUAUUAAGAGUAAGAGUUGCAGCUAGAGUAAAAACGGGGACAGCCGCUAUUAUCCAAGAGAACCAGCAUUACGAGAAAUUAAGAGCAGCUAUUAAUGAAAAUUUAAAAACCAUAGAACAAUCCAUUACCAAACUUGAAGAAUCCUUAACCUCUCUUUCUGAAGUAGUCCUGCAAAACAGGCGAGGAUUAGAUCUACUGUUCUUAAAAGAAAGAAAAUUGUGUGCAGCCCUGAGAAAAGAAUGCUGCUUCUAUGCAGACCAUUCUAGAAUAGUAAAAGAUUCAAUGUCUAAACUCAGAGAAAGACUAGAUCAAAAGGAAGAGAGAGCGAGAAGCCAGCCAAGAGCUAUUUGAGUCCUAGUUUACUAGAUCUCCGUGGCUUACAACCUUGAUAUCCACCUUGACUGAGCAUUUACUUAUUCUUGUACUACUCCUCACUUUAAGACCCUGUAUACUAAAUCGGCUGAUAACUUUUGUUAGAAAAAGAGUGAGUACCGUUCAAGUGCUGAUGUUGAAGCAACAAUAUCAUUCACUCACACAACAAGAACACACAAGCAUUCCAUGAUUGGAAUGCUCCUUAAAAAGAAGUGGGAAAUGUGGAAUCCAUCAUUAAGAAUCAACCUUAUCAAGGAUAGAAAGUUAGCAUAAGCGUAGCCAUCUUAAAAAGCUUAGACACCAUUCUCUAACCGAGAAGGAAGAAAAUAGGAAAAUAUUAGAACCUUGAAAAACAAGUUAGUCAGCCAGUGUUGAUUGCAGUGACCUUUAGUUAGCUAACCUCAAUCAGUUAAUCAUACAUGCCAAGCUUAUCUUACUAAGAACCACCCUAACAUUCCAAGGGUGAUCUUAUCUCGCCAGACCCCCAGGAUGUGGCGUCAGCCGAAAUGUAUAUGUUUUUGGAAAAACAAUGUGAUGUGCUUGUGGAAAAAUACUGCCCUUUUUGAAAAUGCUAUAAAAACCUCUGACUUUAAGUGCUCGGGGUCCUCGUUGAAACCCGCUGUGUCGGGCAGACACUUGGACCCCAGCUAACUGGAAUAACAAUAAACCUCUUGCUUGUUGCAUCGAUCUGCCGUGGCCUUCGUUCGUUUUCUC